GUUAUCGUGCCGUGUUGCUGUGCCUACUACCACUGUUCAAGCCUGUGUAACGACGAGCCGGUACCACCGGGGAGAUCUACCCCCACUUUCGUGUGCACAAGUUUGCCCCUCCCACCUCUCUCUCUGUUAGUUAAUUAUUAUACUUUAAGUUAAAAGUGGGGAUUAACAGUAUAGUUUUUAUAACUUUUGCUUUUCUCUCCCUCUCUUGUUUUUUGUCGGAUAUCCAGAUUCUUUUCUUUUUACAAGAGGAAUGCCUUGUCAGUACUUAAUAUCUCGUCAAUAUUUAGUACAUUAUGGUACAUGACAUGUACCUUAUCAGUUUUUAAGUACCUCGUGUACAUGGACUUAUGAAAGGAGUACAUCAUGUGGUACAUCAUAUUUAUAAAAAAAAAAUCACAGUGUAAGCAUCUAUCAAAAGUCGGUACCUCUUAUAAAACGAGUACAUCGUACGAUACAUCAUAUGUACCUUAACAGUUUGUAAGUACCUUGUCAUAUGAAAACUGUGUACAUCAACUCAUAACUAUACAUCAUGUAACAGCACAAAAUCACCAAGAAACAAGAAACAAAUAAUUAGUAUGUCGUCAUGUAAUGAUGUUACUCAAGAAUCACAACACAAACAUUCAAAGAAAAAACUACAAGAUCUAAAAGCAAAAAAAACAAGACGGCGGCCCAAGAGAAUUAACAAGGACCCAUCGAUAAUAAAUUACAUCACAGCACAUGAUAAGCACCUAAGUAUCUCCUCAAUCCUCUAGUACCCCAUGGGCAUCACGCAAAUCAAUCCUCACCUGCGCCGCCCUUUGGGUACAUAGAUCAAAUUCGCACCAGAAAAUCCAAAAGCUACCAAGUCAACGGAGAUAACAACGAUGGAGAUGGGGACGGAGACCCGCGGCGGCGGCAGCCUUGCGCUAGACGCUGCGUGGAGAUGAUGCAGAGGAUGGCCAGGAUGUCGCGCUCGAGCACGAACUGGACCUCCUCGGGGGGUCGCGGGGCUGGCUCCUGGUCGGACGCUACGAGCUCGGCCGCGUCCACGGUGGCUGCGUCUGUACAGCAGCCAUGGCGGGCGCGGGCAGAGGCAGGUGCGGGCAGCGCUUCCUCAGUUCCUCCAUCUCUGGCUCAGCUCUGCUGCUCCCCUCCUCUCUUCUCUUCUCCUCGCUGAGAUGCGCACACCAAGCAAACACCGUGAGACGAGAGAGAUGGGAGAGAAGUAAGGACGUGGGUGGCAGAGGAAGGAGUCAGGAAUUAGGCAUAGAAAUUAAAAAGAGAGAGUGGACAGGUGUGUGGUAGAGAAUGUGGGGUAGAUGCUCUGUUCAUCCAUCCUUGGGCUUCAGUAGCAA
rnacentral:lncRNA from 1 species